GACGAACGCUGGCGGCGUGCUUAACACAUGCAAGUCGAACGGAAAGGCCCUGCUUUUGUGGGGUGCUCGAGUGGCGGACGGGUGAGUAACACGUGAGUAACCUGCCCUUGACUUUUGGAUAACUUCAGGAAACUGGGGCUAAUACCGGAUAGGAGCUCCUGCUGCAUGGUGGGGGUUGGAAAGUUUCGGCGGUUGGGGAUGGACUCGCGGCUUAUCAGCUUGUUGGUGGGGUAGUGGCUUACCAAGGCUUUGACGGGUAGCCGGCCUGAGAGGGUGACCGGCCACAUUGGGACUGAGAUACGGCCCAGACUCCUACGGGAGGCAGCAGUGGGGAAUAUUGCACAAUGGGCGGAAGCCUGAUGCAGCAACGCCGCGUGCGGGAUGACGGCCUUCGGGUUGUAAACCGCUUUCGCCUGUGACGAAGCGUGAGUGACGGUAAUGGGUAAAGAAGCACCGGCUAACUACGUG
rnacentral:rRNA from 1 species